rnacentral:rRNA from 1 species
CGGGACGGGUGAGUAAUGUCUGGGAAACUGCCUGAUGGAGGGGGAUAACUACUGGAAACGGUAGCUAAUACCGCACAACGUCGCAAGACCAAAGAGGGGGACCUUCGGGCCUCUUGCCAUCGGAUGUGCCCAGAUGGGAUUAGCUAGUAGGUGGGGUAACGGCUCACCUAGGCGACGAUCCCUAGCUGGUCUGAGAGGAUGACCAGCCACACUGGAACUGAGACACGGUCCAG